ACAGGGCAAGGAGGAAAAGACAGUUGAUGGCUCCAGGAGCCGGGCCAGCAACUGUCAUGACCUUGGCUGGAAGAAGCUCAUUCUGAGGCAACAAUGACUUCGCCCAUGUCUUGGUUAAAAAUAAACAUGUGUGCUUGUGAGACAUUAUGGACCACAGAUGAAAGCAACACCUUCCCAGGGGAAGUCUGCCAAAUACAAACAGUCGGGAUUCUUGGAACCUAGUGAAGCAAGCCCUCUCACCAGUCAAGGACCACCUACAAUUCCAUUCACAUACUCUUCCACAUACACUCAGCACAGUGCCUGGAACACAGUGGUCAUUCAUCAGAAGCUGGCCCAGUGAAGCCCUUCAUUGGCAUUUGUGUGAUUCCUACAAUAAAAAUAGUUCAGCCAACCAGAGAAGGGUAUGGAGAAAAAGAGAACUAAACAAAAUGUUCAACCUACAACAAAGUAUUGCACAUCUUGACUCCAGAGAUGUCCACGUCUUUUUAAGUUUGUCCUAAAUUUGUAACAUUUAUAAACAAACAUAUAUAACAUGUGUCAUACAUAUAUCAUGUGUCGAGAUGGCAUAUAUUCUGCAAGGUACAUAGAAAUAAUUGUGCCCAGUUUUCAACUUUACAACUUUGAUAGUUCCUUUUAAGUUUUUAUUGAAUAUUUCUUCCAGGCAUUGCUGAGAGAGCUUGACACUGGAGCCAAACCCUUUCAUACUAUGGCAAAGCAUACACACUGCAGCUGAGCAGAUGGUCUUUUGGUACCGUCUUUGCUCUUUAUAUGGCUACAUGAUCUUACACAAAUUAUUAAAUAGGUCUAUGCCUUUGUUUCCUCAUCUGUAAAAUACUAUGAUGAUAAUAAAGGCUGUUCAGAAGA
rnacentral:lncRNA from 1 species